rnacentral:misc_RNA from 1 species
GAUGAAGAACGUAGUGAAAUGCGAUAAGUAAUGUGAAUUGCAGAAUUCAGUGAAUCAUCGAAUCUUUGAACGCACCUUGCGCCCUUUGGCUAUUCUGAAGGGCAUGCCUGUUUGAGUAUCGUGAACACCUCAACUCUCAUGGUCUGCCAUGAUGAGCUUGGACUUUGGGGUCUUGCUGGCCUACUGUCAGCUCCUCUCAAAUGAAUCAGCUUACCAGUGUUUGGUGGCACCACAGGUGUGAUAACUAUCUACGCUUGUGGUUUUCUGCCAGGUAACCUCCAGUGAUGGAGGUUCGCUGGAGCUCACAAAUGUCUCUCCUCAGCGAGGACAGCUUUUUGAACGUUUGAUCUCAAAUCAGGUAGGACUACCCGCUGAACUUAAGCAUAUCAAUAAGCGGAGGA